AUCAUCCUAAUUUUCCAAUUCCUACCAAACAAUUCGUAUCAGCUGCGAAUUCCACACCAUAUGAUCAGAAAUCGAUGGUCGGUUUUAAUUUUUUGCGUUUUUAAUUAGGUGGAGUCAUUAGUGUGGUAAUAUUAUAGGGUUUGGUAUUAUUUAUAGGGUACAGUAGGAUAUAGGGACUAGUAGUUUACAGGGUACAUAGAUUUUUAGGUCCCUAGGACUAGAGCUUUGGUUUCCCGCCGACUUUUUGUAAAUAGGGUUUUCUUCUGGAUUUCGAUUCGUUCUUCGUCUUUCUUCCGCUGGUGUUCGUCUUUCUUAUCUUCUCGAUUAAGUGUUUUCGAUUGAGGAAGUAGGGUUCUUUCUGUGUUUUCUCUGUAGUAAUCUUCGUCAUACCUUCUGUUAUCGUCUGCUUCUGCUCUUCUUCUUUCUUUUUUUCUCGAUUAACUUAGUAAGGUUUCCUUCACAUUAUUGGGUUUUCGUUCAUUCGAAACUCCAAUAAUCCAUUUUGGGGUUUCCUUCACAUUAUUGGGGUUUCGUAAGGUUGUGAUGUUGAUUUUUUUGUAUUUUCGUUCUUGACUUAGUUAUCGUUAAGAUUUGUUUAUCUGUGUUUCCGAUUUAGUUGUGUUUCCGAUUUGUUUCUCUGGCGUUCUUCGUUUUACCCCUCCCGUUUCCAUAUCCUCUAUCUUGUUUUAUCGUUUUUCGACUUCGUUGAAGUUUGUUUCCGAUGUAGUUGUGUCCAUAUCAUCCAUCUUCGGUUUCUCGUUGAAACACAGCAAUUUUCUCAGGGAAUAACGGUCUUGAGAAAAUUUUGAUGCUGCCACUGGAAAAUUUAACGGUUCUCAUCCUCCCGUUUUGUAUUAAUUUUUCCAAAAUAUGUUCUAUUUACCUUCUUAAAUUGAUUUUUUUUUCAAAAAGGACUGUCUUUAGUAAUGAAACUGAACUGCGUUUUUCUCAAUGUACUUCUUCCUCUUUGUUAUUGAAGCUAUUUAUUUUGUUAGCAGGACUCCUUCUGUUUCAGGUAUUUCAACAAAUUUUUUGUUCAUUCAACAACUGAUUUUUAUAAGUCGUACGAUUAAUUGAUGUCAUCUGAUUAAUUUAUAAGUCGUACGAUUAAAUGAUAUCUGAUCAUUUUCCAUAUUGAUGCUAACUCUAUUUGUCUUUUACUUCUACUGGUAAUCUGGUGUCAUAAUUUGUUGUUUCUUUUUUCAUUCAUUUUAAGUGUGCAGUUAUUCAAUUAUUUUUCCAACAACGGUCUGAAUGGCAUAUUUUGCACAUUCACAAUUUUCUUGCCUACAUGAUGAUGUUAGUAAGAAUUAUUAUUCUUAUGUAGGUAUGAAGGUGAACGCAUAACAAAGGCCCUUUCAAAGUUUGUCAACAGCGAGGGAUGUACUGUUUAAAUCAAUGUUCGGCUAUUGUCUUUAUCUAAUUAUUACAUUCUCAGAUAGAUGUAUGCUAAAUAGUUAAAAUAAAAAUCAACCUAUUCUCGUACUGUGUGUUUUUUGUAGUAACCACUUUAAUCAUCGAUACAGGUUGGUACUGAGAUUUUUCGAACUACACAGGGCUAUCGACUAAAACUGCGUUUAUCUAUAUUUGCUAUUAAUAUAAGUGAUUUUUACAGGUGCUUUCUACAGGUUGGUACUGAGAUUGUACAAAGAGCACUUGGUACUUUCAAUUUAAAUAUAGUUAUUUCUUUCUGUUGGUGUGUGGGUUCGUCGUCCAACCUAGUGCAAGAGUGACUCUCAGAAUUAUCAACCCCCUCCCCUGUUGGACCAGGGGAGGUAUUUAUAGUCUUGCGUCCCAGUGCUUGGGCUUCAUGGGCUCGCGCGCCGGGCCCGUCUGUUCACUCGGGCCGCCGACGGGGCCGGUUUGGUCCAUGGGCCGCGGUCUGUAGUCCAUGGUACCAACACUUUCUGUUUAUCUGGGUUUUUAUUUCUACAGGUACUUCCAAAUGACUGUCAAAUUUGGAUACAAUGUUGUCACUGGAAAAUAUAACGAUGAAUUGUCUGUUGGAAUAAUCGAUCCUACUAAGGUAACUUGUUUCUAUAAUUAUCACUGUGGUUUAACUUGUUUAUAUUAUCUAUGCAGUCAUGUGGCUAACUAUGCAGUCAUUAGCAUCUAGUUGGAGGAAGUUGAUCGUCUAAUAGCAAUAUGUUGAUAGUUAUUCUUUAGAUUUUAACAGAACAUUGAUAGCAAUAUUUAUAGCCCAAUAUUAAAGCCCAUUAAUAUUGGACUCAUUUGAAAAUCAAAAUAUUUAACGGCAAAUAUGAGCGGCAAAUUGAUUUCCAAUCAGUCAAAUCAACAUGCAGAUUUUAAAUUUGUAUUUAUUCUAUUUAUUCUAUUUAUUAAAUUUUAAUUAAAUGUGUUUACUG
rnacentral:lncRNA from 1 species